UCUUCCAGAAUCGCCACCAAUAGGACGAAAAUUGUACACUUAACGAAAAUUAAAGGAUCAUAAAUGGGCAGAUUCCAAAAUAAAAUCCCACUAAUCUCUCUAUUUUCCUUUAUUGUACAGAUGGGACUCCUUCCCUGAUUUCUCUCUUCCUCAUCCAUAUCUCCCACCGAAUAGAUUUCUCUAUAAUCCUGAACAAUAGUACUAGUUUCCAUACUACUAGCACCCAAAAUCGGACCCCCUGUCCCGGACGGGAUCUAAUCUAGCGAAUUACAACCCCUACCAUAUUUUUGUACCUCGGAUUUGUCGCUGUAGUAGUCGCCCAUCUUCACGUUCCCUGCCAGAUCAGGGAGGAUCUUCACUGGAUUCACGCGCAUCAUCUCCUCCGCUCGCCUCUUCAUUUGCUUCCAGCACCUCUUCCGGUCUGUAGAUCGCCGGAUAAUGCGCCUUGCUUCCGCCUUGACUUCUUCCCAAUCCGGCGCGCCCGCUGCGCCCCCGAUGGAAAUCCCCCUCCUAAUGGGGCCGCGAGGAUGGCAAUUCCGGUCUGUAUAUAUGUCUACUUCUAGUUGCAUAGUCCGUACAUCGUUUCGUUCGUUGGCUGGCCCCCUCCUUGAUCCCACCUAUUUUUUCACAUCAAGCCCACCUCCACCGAUUUCCUCUCCUCCCACGGUUUUUUUACGCAGGCGCCUCUCUCACGGUCUCCCCUCUCCCCCGCACGAGGGUGCCAAUACUCCCACCAUGGGUAACCCUAGAUGGUCACCACCGCCUCCCUCUCAUGCCUGUUCUCCAACUCCUCCUUCUCCUCUGAUGUGCCAUCCUCGGCCAGAUCGACGUGGAUCCUCAUCCUCCUUGCGCCGUCAUGAUGGUCGCAGUCUAAUGCCCCACUCACCCACUCGCGUGCCGUUCGUACUUCCCCUAGAUGGAGGAUGCCACGGAAGGCAGCCACACAUCAGCACAAGGGUGCCAUGCCGAGGAGCGUCAUAUGUGGGAGGGUCUCCAGUCUCUAGAUUGCCGACCUCCACGUCAAGGAAGAUGGAGGGAAGUCCUCCAAGUCAUGGAAGAGAUGAGGGGCUCCGGUGCUCCUAACAAGGAAACUUCUCAUUGCAGUUUCUGCGUUCCAAGUUCUCCCCAAGUACACAGCGUGAUCAGUGCUUCUCCGCCUACAGGUUGCGCUGUGUAGGGAUCCUGCCCUCAUGGUUGUGCGAGGCAUGAGCAUCGUUGUUCUCGGUGGCGCGGCCGUGUUUGUGACCAUGAUGAAACUGUGAAAUAUUAAGUGGUACCUUUUCACUAACAUAUGAGAUAUCACAGAAAUGGUAAAUUGAUUUUUACAAUCUCAUCAUAUCAUUGUUGUGAUUGUGUGACUAAGUCUUGAUUUCUCCAUCUCCUUCUAAGUUGAAACUAGAACCAACAGGUUCUCUCAGUCUCAGACAGAAUUAUUGUACUUGUGAAUAUAAAUCUCUGAAACUCUUACUACAUAAAGGUUCUAUUAUAUCAUCAAUAAUGUUGUGGUCUAUGAUAGGGUGCGUCGACUGCAAAUUAAAAUUUCCUACACGCAGAACAACCAAGAACAUGCUACGAGAGAUGGAUCACAGUUCAUUACCACUAGACGCGUAGUGCCGUGCAGCGGAAGAAGAGUUGGGGCAGCGCGUAUGCGUGGAUCGUCUCCUCCUCGUCCGAUCUCCCUCGAACAGCCGUUCGUCCGAACCCACAUACAAGUUCGCCGGAGCGGCGCAAGUGCACCGCCUCUAAUAGUAUCCGCGCGUGUAGGAGGAACACCGUGCGACAGACUGCUAGGUCUGAUCACACAGUCGGCGGCGAGUGGACGUGGCUAUUCGCAACACAUGCAAACCCUAGUCACAGCACCGAAGCAAUCAACCACAUGAGUGUGCCGCACCUCCACUUUAUAUAGGCGUCCGUCGCAGGCUCAACACUUGGGCCUUGCACGGACCCUAAAGCCCAAACUCUACUCGGUCACGUUCCUAGUCCAGUUCGGAUCACAUCCGACCAGUGUCCUACGAACCAACCUCGUAGGUUGCUUCCCUUAAGCAUGUGACCCCUUAGGUUCAAGUCGGCUUGGUCACAGUUCGGAUCACCUCCGACCUGCACUUUUGGUAGCGGCCUCUAGCAAGGCGUGCCGACCACCAAGCAGACUAUGAAGCUGGUUAGGCGAACCUGUACAACGUGUCACACUUCUGUUCCCUUUGCCUCACGAUAUAUGUUGUCGGGAUCAAGGCGAGACUGUCAUCCUUGUGCUAGCCCGACCACUUUCUCGUUCCAGUGAUACUGACCACAAACCGGAUUACCUCAUAAUCCCUGUCGCAUGGCCAUGCUUAUCCUGGUCGGAUCACACGAGGGGCCCAGAGUAUAUCUCUCCUGAUCGGAGGGGCAAAUCUCACCUUGCUCGACCAUGUCUCGCAGCAUGGGACCAGACAAACCUGAAACCUACCUUUGUAACUACCCAGUCAUGGAGUAGCGUUUGUGUUGGGGAACGUAGUAAUUUCAAAAAAAUUCAUACGCACACGCAAGAUCAUGGUGAUGCAUAGCAACGAGAGGGGAGAGUGUUGUCCACGUACCCUCAUAGACCGUAAGCGGAAGCAUUAUGACAACACAGUUGAUGUAGUCGUACGUCGUCACAAUCCGACCGAUCCAAGUACCGAACGUACGACACCUCCGAGUUCAGCACACGUUCAGCUCGAUGACGAUCCCCGGACUCCGAUCCAGCAGGGUGUCGGGGAUGAGUUCCGUCAGCACGACGGCGUGGUGACGGUGAUGAUGUUCUACCAACGCAAGGCUUCGCCUAAGCACCGCAACGAUAUGACCGAGGUGGAAUAUGGUGGAGGGGGGCACCGUACACGGCUAAGAAACGAACACGAGGAUCAACUUGUGUGUCUAGAGGUGCCCCCUGCCCCCGUAUAUAAAGGAGCAAGGGGGGAGGCCGGCCGGCCCUAGGGGCCGUGCCAAAGAGGGGGGAGUCCUCCUCCUAGUGGGAGUAGGACUCCCCUUUCCUAGUCCCACUAGGAAGGAGGAAGGGGGAAGGAAAGAGAGGGGGAGGGAGAGGGAAAGAGGGGUCGCGCCCCCCUCCCCUAGUCCAAUUUGGAAUCCCCAUGGGGGGGGCCACCUCCUGGGAUGCUGCCCUCUCUCUCCCCUCAGGCCCACUAAGGCCCAAUACUUCCCCGGGGGGUUCCGGUAACCCCUCUGGCACUCCGGUUUUCUCCAAAAUCACCCGGAACACUCCCGGUGUCCGAAUAUGUCGUCCAAUAUAUCAAUCUUUAUGUCUCGACCAUUUCGAGACUCCUCGUCAUGUCCGUGAUCACAUCCGGGACUCCGAACAACCUUCGGUACAUCAAAACUUAUAAACUCAUAAUGAAACUGUCAUCGUAACAUUAAGCGUGCGGACCCUACGGGUUCGAGAACUAUGUAGACAUGACCUAGAACCGUUCUCGGUCAAUAACCAAUAGUGGAACCUGGAUGCUCAUAUUGGCUCCUACAUAUUCUACGAAGAUCUUUAUCGGUCAAACCGCAUACAACAUACGUUGUUCCCUUUGUCAUCGGUAUGUUACUUGCCCGAGAUUCGAUCGUCGGUAUCCAAUACCUAGUUCAAUCUCAUUACCGGCAAGUCUCUUUACUCGUUACAUAAUGCAUCAUUCUGUAACCAGCUCAUUGGCCACAUUUCUUGCAAGGCUUAUAGUGAUGUGCAUUACCGAGAGGGCCUAGAGAUACCUCUCCGACAAUCGGAGUGGCAAAUCCUAAUCUCGAAAUACGCCAACUCAACAUGUACCUUCGGAGACACCUGUAGAGCUCCUUUAUAAUCACCCAGUUACGUUGUGACGUUUGGUAGCACACAAAGUGUUCCUCCGGUAAAUGGGAGUUGCAUAAUCUCAUAGUUGUAGGAACUUUGUAUAAGUCAUGAAGAAAGCAAUAGCAACAUACUAAACGAUCAAGUGCUAGGCUAACAGAAUGGGUCAAGUCAAUCACAUCAUUCUCCUAAUGAUGUGAUCUCAUUAAUCAAAUGACAACACAUGUCUAUGGUUAGGAAACAUAACCAUCUUUGAUUAAUGAGCUAGUCAAGUAGAGGCACACUAGUGACAUUAUGUUUGUCUAUGUAUUCACACAUGUAUCGUGUUUCCAGGUAAUACAAUUCUAGCAUGAAUAAUCAACAUUUAUCAUGAUAUGAGGAAAUAAAUAAUAACUUUAUUAUUGCCUCUAGGGCAUAUUUCCUUCAGUCUCCCACUUGCACUAGAGUCAAUAAUCUAGAUUACACAGUAAUGAUUCUAACACCCAUGGAGUCUUGGUGCUGAUCAUGUUUUGCUCGUGGAAUAGGCUUAGUCAACGGGUCUGCAACAUUCAGAUCCGUACGUAUCUUGCAAAUCUCUAUGUCUCCCACUUGGACUUGGUCCCGGAUGGAAUUGAAGCGUCUCUUGAUGUGCUUGGUCCUCUUGUGAAAUCUGGAUUCCUUUGCCAAGGCAAUUGCACCAGUAUUGUCACAGAAGAUCUUCAUUGGUCCCGAUGCACUAGGUAUGACACCUAGAUCGGAAAUGAACUCCUUCAUCCAGACUCCUUCAUUUGCUGCUUCCGAAGCAGCUAUGUACUCCGCUUCGCAUGUAGAUCCCGCCAUGACGCUUUGUUUAGAACUGCACCAACUUACAGCUCCACCGUUUAAUAAAAACACGUAUCCGGUUUGCGAUUUAGAAUCGUUCGGGUCAGUGUCAAAGCUUGCAUCGACGUAACCAUUUACGACUAGCUCUUUGUCACCUCCAUAAACGAGAAACAUAUCCUUAGUCCUUUUCAGGUAUUUCAGGAUGUUCUUGACCAUUGUCUAGUGAUCCACUCCUGGAUUACUUUGGUACCUACAUGCUAAGCUUAUUGCUAAGCAUACGUCAGGUCUGGUACACAACAUUGCAUACAUGAUAGAGCCUAUGGCUGAAGCAUAGGGAACAUCUUUCAUUUUCUCUCUAUCUUCUGCUGUGGUCGGGCAUUGAGUCUGACUCAACUUCACACCUUGUAAUACAGGCAAGAACCCUUUCUUUGCCUGAUCCAUUUUGAACUUUUUCAAAUCUUUAUCAAGGUAUGUGCUUUGUGAAAGUCCAAUUAAGCGUCUUGAUCUAUCUCUAUAGAUCUUGAUGCCCAAUAUGUAAGCAGCUUCACCGAGGUCUUUCAUUGAAAAACUUUUAUUCAAGUAUCCCUUUAUGCUAUCCAGAAAUUCUAUAUCAUUUCCAAUUAAUAAUAUGUCAUCUACAUAUAAUAUCAGAAAUGCUACAGAGCUCACACUCACUUUCUUGUAAAUACAGGCUUCUCCAAAAGUCUGUAUAAAACCAUAUGCUUUGAUCACACUAUCAAAGCGUUUAUUCCAAUUCCGAGAUGCUUGCACCAGUCCAUAAAUGGAUCACUGGAGCUUGCACACUUUGUCAGCACCUUUUGGAUCGAUAAAACCUUCUGGUUGCAUCAUAUACAACUCUUCUUCCAGAAAUCCAUUCAGGAAUGCAGUUUCGACAUCCAUUUGCCAAAUUUCAUAAUCAUAAAAUGCGGCAAUUGCUAACAUUAUUCGGACAGACUUAAGCAUCGCUACGGGUGAGAAAGUCUCAUCAUAGUCAACCCCUUGAACUUGUCGAAAACCUUUCGCAACAAGUCGAGCUUUGUAGACAGUAACAUUACCAUCAGCGUCAGUCUUCUUCUUAAAAAUCUAUUUAUUCUCAAUGGCUUGCCGAUCAUCGGGCGAGUCAACCAAAGUCUAUACUUUGUUCUCAUACAUGGAUCCUAUCUCAGAUUUCAUGGCUUCUAGCCAAUUUGCGGAAUCUGGGCUCAUCAUCGCUUCCUCAUAGUUCGUAGGUUCGCCAUGGUCAAGUAACAUGACUUCCAGAAUAGGAUUACCGUACCACUCUGGUGCGGAUCGUACUCUGGUAGACCUAUGAGGUUUAGUAGAAACUUGAUCUGAAGUUUCAUGAUCAAUAUCAUUAGCUUCCUCACUAAUUGGUGUAGUUGUCAUAGGAACCGGUUCUUGUGAUGGACUACUUUCCAAUAAGGGAGCAAGUACAGUUACCUCAUCAAGUUCUACUUUCCUCCCACUCACUUCUUUCAAGAGAAACUCCUUCUCUAGAAAGGAUCCAAAUUUAGCUACGAAAAUCUUGCCCUCAGAUUUGUGAUAGAAGGUGUACCCAAUAGUCUCUUUUGGGUAUCCUAUGAAGACACAUUUCUCCGAUUUGGGUUCGAGCUUAUCUGGUUGAAGUUUCUUCACAUAAGCAUCGCAGCCCCAAACUUUAAGAAAUGACAACUUUGGUUUCUUUCCAAACCACAGUUCAUAAGGCGUCGUCUCAACGGAUUUUGAUGGUGCCCUAUUUAACGUGAAUGCGGCCGUCUCUAAAGCAUAACCCCAAAACGAUAGCGGUAAAUCAGUAAGAGACAUCAUAGAUCGCACCAUAUCUAGUAAAGUACGAUUACAACAUUCGGACACACCAUUUCGCUGUGGUGUUCCGGGUGGCGUGAGUUGCGAAACUAUUCCACAUUGCUUCAAAUGUAAACCAAACUCGUAACUCAAAUAUUCUCCUCCAUGAUCAGAUUGCAGAAAUUUUAUUUUCUUGUUACAAUGAUUUUCCACUUCACUCUGAAAUUCUUUGAACUUUUCAAAUGUUUCAGACUUGUGUUUCAUUAAGUAGAUAUACCCAUAUCUUCUCAAAUCAUCUGUGAAGGUGAGAAAAUAACGAUACCCGCCGUGAGCCUCAAUAUUCAUUGGACCACAUACAUCAGUAUGUAUGAUUUCUAAUAAAUCAGUUGCUCGCUCCAUAGUUCCGGAGAACGGCGUUUUAGUCAUCUUGCCCAUGAGGCACGGUUCGCAAGUACCAAGUGAUUCAUAAUCAAGUGAUUCCAAAAGUCCAUCAGUAUGGAGUUUCUUCAUGCGCUUUACACCGAUAUGACCUAAACGGCAGUGCCACAAAUAAGUUGCACUAUCAUUAUCAACUCUGCAUCUUUUGGCUUCAACACUAUGAAUAUGUGUAUCACUACUAUCGAGAUUCAAUAAAAAUAGACCACUCUUCAAGGGUGCAUGACCAUAAAAGAUAUUACUCAUAUAAAUAGAACAACCAUUAUUCUCUGAUUUAAAUGAAUAACCGUCUCGCAUCAAACAAGAUCCAGAUAUAAUGUUCAUGCUCAACGCUGGCACCAAAUAACAAUUAUUUAGGUCUAAAACUAAUCCCGACGGUAGAUGUAGAGGUAGCGUGCCGACCGCGAUCACAUCGACUUUGGAACCAUUUCCCACGCGCAUCGUCACCUCGUCCUUAGCCAAUCUUCGCUUAAUUCGUAGUCCUUGUUUCGAGUUGCAAAUAUUAGCAACAGAACCAGUAUCAAAUACCCAGGUACUACUGCGAGCAUUAGUAAGGUACACAUCAAUAACAUGUAUAUCACAUACACCUUUGUUCACUUUGCCAUCCUUCUUAUCUGCCAAAUACUUGGGGCAGUUCCGCUUCCAGUGUCCAGUCUGCUUGUAGUAGAAGCACUCAGUCUCAGGCUUAGGUCCAGACUUGGGUUUCUUCUCUUGAGAAACAACUUGUUUGCUGUUCUUCUUGAAGUUCCCCUUCUUCUUCCCUUUGCCCUUUUUCUUGAAACUGGUGGUCUUGUUGACCAUCAACACUUGAUGCUCCUUCUUGAUUUCUACCUCCGCGGCUUUUAGCAUUGCGAAGAGCUCGGGAAUAGUCUUGUCCAUCCCUUGCAUAUUAUAGUUCAUCACGAAGCUCUUGUAGCUUGGUGGCAGUGAUUGAAGAAUUCUGUAAACGACACUAUCAUCAGGAAGAUUAACUCCCAGUUGAAUCAAGUGAUUAUUAUACCCAUACAUUUUGAGUAUGUGUUCACUGACAGAACUAUUCUCCUACAUCUUACAGCUAUAGAACUUAUUGGAGACUUCAUAUCUCCCAAUCCGGGCAUUUGCUUGAAAUAUUAACUUCAACUCCUGGAACAUCUCAUAUGCUCCAUGACGUUCAAAACGUCGUUGAAGACCCGGUUCCAAGCCGUAAAGCAUGGCACACUGAACUAUCGAGUAGUCAUCAGCUUUGCUCCGCCAGACAUUCUUAACGUCGUCAGUUGCAUCAGCAGCAGGCCUGGCACCCAGCGGUGCUUCCAGGACGUAAUUCUUCUGUGCAGCAAUGAGGAUAAUCCUCAGGUUACGGACCCAGUCCGUGUAAUUGCCACCAUCAUCUUUCAACUUAGCUUUCUCAAGGAACGCAUUAAAAUUCAACUGCACAACAACACGAGCCAUCUAUCUACAACAAACAUAGACAAGAAAAAUACUACCAGAUACUAAGUUCAUGAUAAAUAUAAGUUCAAUUAAUCAUAUUACUUAAGAACUCCCACUUAGACAGACAUCUCUCUAGUCAUCUAAGUGAUCACGUGAUCCAAAUCAACUAAACCAUGUCCAAUCAUCACGUGAGAUGGAGUAGUUUCAAUGGUGAACAUCUCUAUGUUGAUCAUAUCUACUAUAUGAUUCAUGUUCGACCUUUCGGUCUCCGUGUUCCGAGGCCAUAUCUGUAUAUGCUAGGCUCGUCAAGUUUAACCUGAGUAUUCCGCGUGUGCAACUGUUUUGCACCAGUUGUAUUUGAACGUCGAGCCUAUCACACCCGAUCAUCACGUGGUGUCUCAGCACGAAGAACUUUCACAACGGUGCAUACUCAGGGAGAACACUUCUUGAUAAUUUAGUGAGAGAUCAUCUUAAAAUGCUACCGUCAAUCAAAGCAAGAUAAGAUGCAUAAAGGAUAAACAUCACAUGCGAUCAAUAUAAGUGAUAUGAUAUGGUCAUCAUCAUCUUGUGCUUGUGAUCUCCAUCUCCGAAGCACCGUCGUGAUCACCAUCGUCACCGGCACGACACCUUGAUCUCCAUCGUAGCAUCGUUGUCGUUACGCCAUCAAUUGCUUCUACGACUAUUGCUACCGCUUAAUGAUAAAGUAAAGCAAUUACAGGGCGUUUGCAUUUCAUAAAUAAAGCGACAAUCAUAUGGCUACUGCCAGUUGCUGAUAACUUCGGUUACAAAACAUGAUCAUCUCAUACAAUAAAAUAUAGCAUCACGUCUUGACCAUAUCACAUCACAACAUGCCCUGCAAAAACAAGUUAGACGUCCUCUACUUUGUUGUAGCAAAUUUUACGUGGCUGCUACGGGUUGAGCAAGAACUGUUCUUACCUACACAUCAAAACCACAACGAUAGUUCGUCAAGUUAGUGUUGUUUUAACCUUCACAAGGACCGUGGGUAGCCACACUCGGUUCAACUAAAGUGAGAGAGACAGACACCCGCCAGUCACCUUUAAGCACGAGUGCUCGUAACGGUGAAACCAGUCUCGCGUAAGCGUACGCGUAAUGUCGGUCUGGGCCGCUUCAUCUCACAAUACUGCUGAACCAAAGUAUGACAUGCUGGUAAGCAGUAUGACUUGUAUCGUCCACAAGUCACUUGUGUUCUACUCGUGCAUAUGACAUCUACGCAUAAAACCUGGCUCGGAUGCCACUGUUGGGGAACAUAGUAAUUUCAAAAAAAUUCCUAUGCACACGCAAGAUCAUGGUGAUGCAUAGCAACGAGAGGGGAGAGUGUUGUCCAUGUACCCUCGUAGACCAUAAGCGGAAGCGUUAUGACAACGCGGUUGAUGUAGUCGUACGUCAUCACGAUCCGACCGAUCCAAGUACCAAACGUACGGCACCUCCGAGUUCAGCACACGUUCAGCUCGAUGACGAUCCCCGGACUCUGAUCCAGCAGGGUGUCGGGGAUGAGUUCCGUCAGCACGACGGUGUGGUGACGAUGAUGAUGUUCUACCGACGUAGGGCUUCGCCUAAGCACCGCAACGAUAUGACCGAGGUGGAAUAUUGUGGAGGGGGGCACCGCACACGGCUAAGGAACGAUCACGAGGAUCAACUUGUCUGUCUAGAGGUGCCCACUGCCCCCGUAUAUAAAGAAGCAAGGGGGGAGGCCGGCCGUCCCUAGGGGGCGUGCCAAGGAGGGGGGAGUCCUCCUCCUAGUGGGAGUAGGACUCCCCUUUCCUAGUCCCACUAGGAAGGAGGAAGGGGGAAGGAAAGAGAGGGAGAGGGAGAGGGAAAGAGGGGCCGCGCCCCCCUCCCCUAGUCCAAUUCGGACUCCCCAUGGGGGGGGCACCUCCUGGGCUGCUGCCCUCUCCCUCCCCUCAGGCCCACUAAGGCCCAAUACUUCCCCGGGGGGUUCCGGUAACCCCUCCGGCACUCCGAUUUUCUCCGAAAUCACCCGGAACACUUCCGAUGUCCGAAUAUAGUCGUCCAAUAUAUCAAUCUUUAUGUCUCGACCAUUUCGAGACUCCUCGUCAUGUACGUGAUCACAUCCGGGACUCCAAACAACCUUCGGUACAUCAAAACUUUAAACUCAUAAUGAAACUGUCAUCGUAAUGUUAAGCGUGCGGACCCUACGGGUUCGAGAACUAUGAAGACAUGACCUAGAACUGUUCUCGGUCAAUAACCAAUAGCGGAACCUGGAUGCUCAUAUUGGCUCCUACAUAUUCUACAAAGAUCUUUAUCGGUCAAACCGCAUAACAACAUACGUUGUUCCCUUUGUCAUCGGUAUGUUACUUGCCCGAGAUUCGAUCGUCGGUCCAAUACCUAGUUUAAUCUCGUUACUGACAAGUCUCUUUACUCGUUACAUAAUGCAUCAUUCCGUAACCAACUCAUUGGCCACAUUGCUUGCAAGGCUUAUAGUGAUGUGCAUUACCGAGAGGGCCCAGAGAUACCUCUCCGACAAUCGGAGUGACAAAUCCUAAUCUCGAAAUACGCCAACUCAACAUGUACCUUCGGAGACACCUGUAGAGCUCCUUUAUAAUCACCCAGUUACGUUGUGACGUUUGGUAGCACACAAAGUGUUCCUCCGGUAAACGGGAGUUGCAUAAUCUCAUAGUUGUAGGAACUUUGUAUAAGUCAUGAAGAAAGCAAUAGCAACAUACUAAACGAUCAAGUGCUAGGCUAACGGAAUGGGUCAAGUCAAUCACAUCAUUCUCCUAAUGAUGUGAUCUCGUUAAUAAAAUGACAACACAUGUCUAUGGUUAGGAAACAUAACCAUCUUUGUCUAUGUAUUCACACAUGUAGAGGCACGCUAGUCAAGUAGAGGCACACUAGUGACAUUAUGUUUGUCUAUGUAUUCACACAUGUAUCAUGUUUCCGGGUAAUACAAUUCUAGCAUGACUAAUAAACAUUUAUCAUGAUAUGAGGAGAUAAAUAAUAACUUUAUUAUUGCCUCUAGGGCAUAUUUCCUUCAGUUUGGUUGGCCCAAAGCAAGUCCGUCACCAUCCCGAGUACAUGCGUCAGCUCAGGUCUUAGGACAUAGAACGUAUGUUGUACUAGAGACUCACAGAUGACAUAUCACUGCGUCUCAUAGUUGGGUCUAUCCGACUCGGAGCUUAUCUCGACUCGGAUCCAACUACGUCGAAUCCGACCAGACCUUUCCAAGUCCAUAUUAUCCGGUUAGCAUCCAAUGCUCCAUGGCCAGUGAGACCAAGCCAUCGACCGCGUCCACACAAUCCUUUCGACUAGGGACCUUUUAGGACAGUCACCAUACAAUGCAUAGUCCCACAAACAAGUCACGUACUUACCGAUACACAUCAUUGAUAAUGUCCAAGGACUAUCUUUAUUCAUAAACACAUAGGAAAUAUCAUCAUACAUGAUUGCCUCUAGAGCAUAUCUCCAACAGUCUCCCACUUGCACUAGAGUCAAUCAAAUAGACAUUGAAUGCCCAUAGCUCUAACGUGCCCCUCAUGAUUGGGUUGUGGAAGCGUCUUAGUCAACGGAUCCGCAACAUUUGCAUCCGUGUGAAUUUUGCGUAAUUCUACAUCACCAUUCUUUACGAUCUUUCAUAUCAGGUGAUAUUUCCGGUCUAUGUGUCUGACCUUGUGGUGAUUCCUCGGCUCCUUGGCUUCUGCGAUGGCACCAGAAUUGUCACAAUAAAGGUCCAACGGUUUCACCGAGACUGGGAAAAUACCAAGAUCAUCCAGAAAAUGCCGGAUCCAAACACCUUCCUUUGUAGCUUCACAAGCCGCAAUGUAUUCGGCUUCUGUGGUAGAAUCGGCCACCGUAUCCUACUUGGAACUCAUCCAGUGCACUGCUCCUCUGUUUAGGACGUACACAAAUCCGGACUGUGAUCGACAAUCAUCUCUGUCGAUUUGGAAACUAGCAUCGACGUAACCUCUUAUGACGAGCUCUUCCUCACCUACAUAAACUAGGAACAUCUCUUUAGUCCUUUUCAGGUACUUCAAAAUAGUCUUUACCGCUGCCUAGUGACUCUCACCUGGGUUGGCCUGGUAUCUACUUGUUAGGCUUAUUGCAAAAGCAACAUCAGGCCUUGUACAUAUCAUGGCAUACAUGAUGGAUCCCAUUGCCAAGGCAUACGGAAUCCUACUCAUCCUGCUUCGCUCAUCAGAUGUCGAAGGACUCUGAGUCUCGCUUAGCCUUAUACCAUGUGAGAGUGGCAAGAACCCUUUCUUCGCCUCACUCAUGUUGAACCGCUUCAACACUUUAUCUAUGUACGUGCUCUGGCUUAAGCCGAGCAGCCUCCUCGAUCUAUCUCUAUAGAUCUUAAUGCCUAAAAUAUAGACUGCCUCACCAAGGUCCUUCAUCGAAAACUUGCCAUUCAAUGAUUCCUUGACCGAGUUUAGCAUCGAAACAUUGUUCCCGAUCAACAAUAUGUCAUCCACAUACAAGAUCAAAAACACUAUCGAGCUCCCACUUAACUUCUUGUAUAAACAAGAGUCCUCUUUGCUUUUGAUGAAACCGAGACCAGUGACGACCUCAUCAAAACGAAUGUUCCAACUCCGAGAUGCUUGCUUCAACCCUUAAAUGGAUCUCUUGAGCUUGCAUACCUUACUAGUGCUAGUCGGAUUGACAAAACCCUCGGGCUAUAUCAUAUACACAUCCUUGGUUAAAUUUCCGUGAAGGAAAGCCGUUUUGACAUCCAUCUGCCAUAUCUCGUAAUCGAAAUAUGCAGCUAUAGCUAGUAUGAUCCUCACCGAUUUCAGCAUCGCUAUCGGCGAGUAAGUCUCGUUGUAGUCAAUUCCUUGAACUUGUCCAUAACCUUUAGCGACAAGCCGAGCUUUGUGGAUCUGAACAUUUCCAUCCACAUCGGUUUUCUUCUUAAAGACCCAUUUGCAACCAAUGGCCGUUACGCCAGGUGGCGGAUCAACCAAGUCCCAGACUUGAUUUUCAUCCAUGGACUUUAACUCGGAUCUCAUGGCCUCCAGCCAUGCCUCGGAAUCUGGGCUUACCAUCGCUUCCACAUACGUGGUCGGCUCUUCGCUUUCUAGCAACAAUACAUCGCGCACUCUGCGCAAUCUUUCCGACCUUCGUGGUUCCGGUGCUGCUCCCACUACGGGUUCCCUGACUGACUCCGGUAUGAUCUCAUCACCAGCCGAGCCGUCCCCGAGUGGUCCUCGAAUUUCUUCGAGUUGAACCGUCCUCCCACUAGCCUCCCGACUGAGAAACUCUUUCUCAAGGAAAACCGCAUUCCGAGCAACAAACACUUUGUUCUCUUCCCGGUUGUAGAAGCUAUAUCCCAAGGUUUCCCUCGGAUAUCCCACGAAUAUGCAUUUAUCCGACUUGGGUGUAAGCUUGUCUGACAUAAGUCGCUUGACAAAUGCUUCACAACCCCAAAUCUUUAGAAAAGACAAACUAGGACUCUUCCCGGUCCACAUCUCAUGUGGUGUCUUGUCUACGGAUUUUGAUGGUACCAUGUUAAGUGUGAAAGCUGCAGUUUCUAGAGCGUAUCCCCAGAAUGACAAGGGUAAAUCCGAUUUGCUCAUCAUAGACCAGACCAUGUCCAACAAGGUCCUAUUCCUCCGUUCCGACACGCCGUUUCUCUGUGGCGUACCCGGAGGUGUGAGCUGAGGUACUAUACCUCGACUUUUCAGAUGAUCAUCAAACUCCUGGCUCAUGUACUCACCUCCAUGAUCAGAUCGCAGAAGCUUGAUAGUCUUGCCGAGCUGAUUCUCAACCUCGUUCUGAAACUCUUUGAACUUUUCAAAAGUCUCCGACUUGUGCCUCAUCAAAUAGAUAUAUCCAUAUCUACUCAAGUUGCCGAUAAAAGUCACGAAGUACUGAUAGCCACCUCUGGCAGUUGUGCUCAUUGGACCACACACAUCACUAUGUAUGAGUUCCAAUAGCUCAGACGCCCUCUUGCAACUCUUUGUGAAAGUAGACUCAGUCAUCUUGCCGAGCAAGCAUGACUCACAUGUCUCGAGCGACCCGAAGUCGGACGAAGUUAGGAGCCCAUCAUCAUGGAGCUUCUUCAUGCGUUUCAGACUAAUGUGUCCAAGCCGGCAAUGCCAGAAGUAUGUCGGAUUUAUCUCAUUAGGCUUAUGCCUCUUAACAUUCACGUUAUAGACCGAUUCCUAUUCUAGAUUCAAUAUAAAUAGCCCAUCAACAAUGGGUGCAUAGCCGUGGAACAUACCAUUCAAAAAUAUCGAACAACCAUUGUCCUUUAAAUUGAAUUCAUAACCUUGACUCAUCAAACAUGAGGCAGAAAUAAUGUUCCGACUAAGUGCAGGAAUGUAGUAACAAUUAUUCAAUUCCAUUAUGAAUCCGGAACGAAGCUGGAGCUGCAUCAUGCCGACCUCCAACGCAGCAACUCUUGCUUUGUUGCCGACCCUGAUGUCAAUCUCCCCUUGUGCCACACGCCUAGUUCUUACCAGCCCCUGCAUCGAGUUGCAAAUAUGAACAACUGAUCCGGUAUCAAAUACCCAAGAGCUACUAGGUAUGUCAGCAAGGUAAAUGUCUAUAACAUAUGCAACAAGUGUACCUUUGCCUGAAGCAGCAUUCCCGGCCUUCUUGCCAUGCUCUGCAAGCCACUUGCUACAGUUCAUAUUCCAGUGACCGGUCUCCUUGCAGUGAUAGCAAACGGUCUUCGAGUCCGGUCCAGACUUCGGCGCAGUGGCGGAGGUUACCGUCUCCGUGCCCUUUGCCUUAGCCUUUUUCUUGGACCAACUCUUCUUGAACUUAGCCGAUUUCUGCACCAUCAACACUUGAUGCGUGCCUUUCUUAAUAUCCUGCUCUGCCACUUUGAGCAUCCCAUGCAAUUUAGUGAGCUUCUUAUCCAUGCCAUGCAUAUGAUAGUUCGAGAUGAACGUCCCAUAACUGGGCGGAAGAGAACCCAUAACAGCAUCAGUAGCCAGCUCAUCCAAGAGCGGGAAGCCCAAACCAUCCAAAGCUUGCACAUAUCCGAUCAUCUUGAUCACAUGCAGGCUCAGUGGAUCACCUUCCUUCAGCUUGCAAUCCAUCAAGGAUCGCCAUACGUUGAACCUUUCAGUCCUAGCCCGUGUCUGAAACAUGCUCUUGAGACUCUCGAUCAUAUCGUAAGCCUCAACAUUUUCGAAAUGCUGUUGCAAAUCGGGCUCCAUACAAGCCAGCAUCAGACAGCUGAUCUUCGUUGAUUCAUCAACGAGUUUCUGGUAGGCAUUCUUAGUUGUGGCAUUAGCAUUAUCGACAGGUUCCUCUGGAAGUGGAUCCUCUCGAACAUGUUCCUUUUUAUCGUGCUUGAGAACAAUUCUCAGAUUUCUAUACUAGGUGGUAAAGUUUGUUCCAUUCUGUUUAUCCUUUUCCAGAAUUGAUUUCAAUGCAAAGUUGGGUUGAGCAGGGGGUGCCAUUGUGUGACGCCCCCGAUUUAAUCGUACACUAAUCAUGCACGCAAACGUGUACGAUCAAGAUCAGGGACUCACGGGAAGAUAUCACAACACAACUCUAAAACAUAAAUAAGUCAUACAAGCAUCAUAAUACAAGCCAGGGGCCUCGAGGGCUCGAAUACAAGUGCUCGAUCAUAGAUGAGUCAGCGGAAGCAACAAUAUCUGAGUACAGACAUAAGUUAAACAAGUUUGCCUUAAGAAGGCUAGCACAAACUGGGUUACAGAUCGAAAGAGGCGCAGGCCUCCUGCCUGGGAUCCUCCUAACUACUCUUGGUCGACGUCAGCGGCCUGCACGUAGUAGUAGGCACCUCCAGUGUAGUAGGAAUCAUCGUCGACGGUGGCGUCUGUCUCCUGGACUCCAGCAUCUGGUUGCGACAACCAGAAAGAAAGGAAAGGGGGAAAAGGGGGGAGAAAGCAACCAUGAGUACUCAUCCAAAGUACUCACAAGCAAGGAGCUACACUACAUAUGCAUGGGUAUAUGUGUAAAGGGCCAUAUCAGUGGACUGAACUGCAGAAUGCCAGAAUAAGAGGGGGAUAGCUAGUCCUAUCGAAGACUACGCUUCUGGCAGCCUCCGUCUUGCAGCAUGUAGAAGAGAGUAGACUGAAGUCCUCCAAGUAGCAUCUCCAAGUAGCAUCGCAUAGCAUAAUCCUACCCGGCGAUCCUCCCCUCGUCGCCCUGUGGAAAAGCGAUCACCGGGUUGUCUGUGGAACUUGGAAGGGUGUGUUUUAUUAAGUAUCCGGUUCUAGUUGUCAUAAGGUCAAGGUACAACUCCAAGUCGUCCUGUUACGGAAGAUCACGGCUAUUCGAAUAGAUUAACUUCCCUGCAGGGGUGCACCAACUUACCCAACACUCUCGAUCCCAUUUGGCCGGACACACUUUCCUGGGUCAUGCCCGGCCUCGGAAGAUCAACACGUCGCAACCCCACCUAGGCACAACAGAGAGGUCAGCACGCCGGUCUAAACCUAAGCGCAUAGGGGUCUGGGCCCAUCGCCCUUAGCACACCUGCACGUUGCGUACGCGGCCGGUGAGCAGACCUAGCAACCUCCAUUACAAAGGAAGUUGCGUUAACGCAGUCCAACGCGGCGCGCGCCACUCAGUCGCUGACGUCAAGAAGGCUUCGGCUGAUACCACGACGCCGGGAUACCCAUAACUACUCCCGCGUAGAUGGUUAGUGCGUAUAGGCUCGUAGCCAACUUAGAUCAAAUACCCAGAUCUCGUUAAGCGUGUUAAAUAUCCGCGAAUGCCGACCAGGGCCAGGCCCACCUGUCUCCUAGGUGGUCUCAACCUGCCCUGCCGCUCCACCACAAAGUAAUAGUCGGGGGCCGUCGGGAACCCAGGCCCACCUCUACCGGGAUGGAGCCACCUGCCCCUUCAGCCCCCAUCUCCGAACAGUAUCACAGGUAAUGUAACUGUGUAAAGUAUAUCGUAUAUGCCCGUGAUCACCUCCCGAAGUGAUCACGGCCCAGUAGUAUAGCAUGGCAGACGGACAAGAGUGUAGGGCCACUGAUGGAACACUAGCAUCCUAUACUAAGCAGUAGGAUAGUAGGUAAUGGUAACAACAGUAGUAGCAAGGACAUGCUAUGCAUCAGGAUAGGAAUAACGGAAAGCAGUAACAUGCUACACUACUCUAAUGCAAGCAGUAUAGAGAAAAGAGUAGGCGAUAUCUGGUGAUCAAAGGGGGGGCUUGCCUGGUUGCUCUGGCAAGGAGGGGGUCAUCUUCGAUGUAGUCGAACACACGGACAUCGGCAGCGGUCUUGGAGUCUACCGGAAAGGAGUACGGAGGGGGAACACAAUAAAUAACAGAGCAAUCAAAUGCAACACAAAGCAAGACGCGGCAAUACGCGGUGCUAGGCAUGUCCUAACGCGGUAUUAUGUGAUACCGGGGAAAGGGGGAAACAUCCGGGAAAGUAUUCCCGGUGUUUCGGGUUUUCGGACAGAUGAACCGGAGGGGGAAAGUUGCGUGUUUGAUAUGUUAGGGGUGUGUGGUGGACGAACGGACUGCGUAUCCGGGUUCGUCUCGUCGUUCUGAGCAACUUUCAUGUUGAAAAUAUUUUAAUCCGAGUUACGGAUUAAAAGUUAUGUUUUUCUAAAGAUUUUAUUAAUUUCUGGAAUUUAAUUAAUUAUUUAAUUAAUCGAAAAACAGAUUAAUGACAUCAGCAUGAUGUCAUGCUGACAUCAGCAGUCAACAGAGUUGACUUGGUCAACCUGACAUGUGGGUCCAGGGGGACCCACCUGUCAUUCUCUAUGAUUAACUAAAACAGAUUAAUUAGCUUAAUUAGUGAUUAGGUGAAUCUAAUCAAGAUUAAUUAACUUAAUUAAUUACUUAAUUAAUUAAUUAAUAUUUUAGUUAUUUUAGUUAUUAUUUACUUAUUUAAUAUAUUCUUUUUAUAUGUAUAUUUUUUUCUAAUUCCUUUUCUUUUCUUUCUUUCUUUUUUUUAAACCGUUNNNNNNNNNNNNNNNNNNNNNNNNNNNNNNNNNNNNNNNNNNNNNNNNNNNNNNNNNNNNNNNNNNNNNNNNNNNNNNNNNNNNNNNNNNNNNNNNNNNNNNNNNNNNNNNNNNNNNNNNNNNNNNNNNNNNNNNNNNNNNNNNNNNNNNNNNNNNNNNNNNNNNNNNNNNNNNNNNNNNNNNNNNNNNNNNNNNNNNNNNNNNNNNNNNNNNNNNNNNNNNNNNNNNNNNNNNNNNNNNNNNNNNNNNNNNNNNNNNNNNNNNNNNNNNNNNNNNNNNNNNNNNNNNNNNNNNNNNNNNNNNNNNNNNNNNNNNNNNNNNNNNNNNNNNNNNNNNNNNNNNNNNNNNNNNNNNNNNNNNNNNNNNNNNNNNNNNNNNNNNNNNNNNNNNNNNNNNNNNNNNNNNNNNNNNNNNNNNNNNNNNNNNNNNNNNNNNNNNNNNNNNNNNNNNNNNNNNNNNNNNNNNNNNNNNNNNNNNNNNNNNNNNNNNNNNNNNNNNNNNNNNNNNNNNNNNNNNNNNNNNNNNNNNNNNNNNNNNNNNNNNNNNNNNNNNNNNNNNNNNNNNNNNNNNNNNNNNNNNNNNNNNNNNNNNNNNNNNNNNNNNNNNNNNNNNNNNNNNNNNNNNNNNNNNNNNNNNNNNNNNNNNNNNNNNNNNNNNNNNNNNNNNNNNNNNNNNNNNNNNNNNNNNNNNNNNNNNNNNNNNNNNNNNNNNNNNNNNNNNNNNNNNNNNNNNNNNNNNNNNNNNNNNNNNNNNNNNNNNNNNNNNNNNNNNNNNNNNNNNNNNNNNNNNNNNNNNNNNNNNNNNNNNNNNNNNNNNNNNNNNNNNNNNNNNNNNNNNNNNUUUAUAAAAAUGGGUUUGUUGCACCAUAAUUAUCUAUGUAAUAUCUAGUACAAACCGAACAAUUUUAUUUUAAUGUUUGAAAACUUUUAUUAUUUACCAAAUUUUGAAUUUGAAUUUGAAUCGGUUUCGAACUAACUCGAGAUUAGCAACUAUAAUCGAGGUGACGUGGCAUCACUAGCAGAGGAUCACUGUAGCUUAAUUACCCGGGCGUCACAAUUCUCCUCCACUACAAGAAAUCUCGUCCCGAGAUUUAGGAGCGGUUAUAAGGGGGGAUGGGAUUUGGUUACGAAAUUCUAACGAAUCUUCUCGUAUUUGGUUGCUCUUCUCGAAGAGGUGGAUCCAUUACAUUGAAGUCUUCAUUUCUCUGCUCCAGGUCAUCAUGAUGGAGCCGUCAUCCUUUCUUCGAGAUCUCCAACGUACUAACGAAUCAAUAAGGAGAAACUCGGCUACGACAAAAAGGCUUAUGAGGGAACAAUCUGGGGGUUAACCCAAGAAUCAGCAUAAGAGUAUCUCUCGAGUUGAACAUAUAAAAUACAUCGAGAGUAAGGUACGAAGGUACAAUAAGAGGUUCCAAGCGGAUAGAUAGUUGCUCGAGGCCUGAACCAGAUUGAGAAAGGGGCUCAGAGUAGCGAGAGUAGGUAUUGCGUCAGAUACCAUAAUAGAGCACUAGGAAGGUGGCCCAUGAAUUAAAUACGAAGCCAAGCAUGGGGAAUAACCAUUGGAAACAAGGUUGUACAGGAGAGUCAGGUUUCGAUCCUGGGGCCUGUGGGUUAUGGGCCCACCAUGUGGUUUAAAAGUAGGAAGGGCGUUGACAUCUUGCACAGUCAUGUAAGCAAGGCAUGUCAGAGGUUAGUCUGCCGGUUAUGUCGACAACAACAUCGGUACCAAGGGCGAGGGACGAAGAGAACCAUUUCCCUGCUCGUUGAGCGAGGCGGACCAAUAGGCAAGGUUCUCAUCCAUCGGUGGUUAUCGGGAUGUCAUCAACAAUAGUAACAGGGUCUUAUUGACAGAGUUGUACAACUGAGGUGUUUAUAUAAGCAGCGAAUCAUUACCGCUUAGAUCAUAUAAACCACGAGAAAUGUUAAACAAGACAAUGGAAAGGAAAAUGUGAUCAUCAGAUUUAAAUAGAACAGUGGAAAGAAAAAUGUGUUCAAACACAUAUGUCAGGGGUAUAUCCUUCCCGAGGACAAGCAGAACAUGAUAACCACGACAUGAUAUUAAGUAGAAAAGCCUCUAGGUGAGGGGAGAGAAAUUUUCAUGACAUUAUCCAUACAGCAGUGUUUGGAUAAUUGAGCAAGAAACGUUUAGCAUUGGGCUUCAAAUGUUCUUGUUGAAAAUCGGAGUACCACAGACAUGCUUCGAGAUAGCAUUGACAUGGUGUUUCAAUCAAGGGCCAGACUUUGGAUAUAGGAAGGAUCCAUUAGGAACAACUUGUAGGAUAAGUCUUACAAUUUCCUCCAGGAAGAAUGGUUAUCUUGCAAAAGAAAUUAUAAUGAUAGGUCCUCCCGCCGGGGGGGGGGUGCUAUGCAUGACAUCAUGUUACCGGGUCAUCAAAGGAUCAACAUCCUAACCCUUGGAAAGUUGUCCCAACCAUCAUAUCUGACCGAGAUUCAUAUCCAAUUGGUGUCAUGAUACCUCAGACUCAGGAUGUCCGAGAAGAAAAGGGGCAACACAAAUCGUUGAAAUGGCAUUGCAAGAUUCUCGGGAAAUGAACUACGGGAGCGGGUUCCUGAAACAAUAGUUCAUCAUUAAACCAAGGAGAGGUGAGGAGGUGGCUGAUUGACUCAGCGACAAUUCAUUGAGAUUUUCAAAAGAUGGAUUUACACAAUAAUGUGAACAAGAAGAUGACACUUGUCAAUUCAAAUGAUAUAACAUUGUAUGCUCUAGGGAAACAUACACCAUCAAUCAUUAGUUGAAAGGUGUGCCCGAAAUAUGACUUAGGCAGCAAGAUCAAUGUUAGAGGGACGAUUCAAUAAUCAAAGGUCUAAGAACGAACUAUCGAUCGUUAACUUCAAAGCAAUGGGGUUGCUAGAAGUACAGAACUCAAACAACAUCUAUUGGUAUGUUGGUUAAAAACAACACGGGGACCAAGGAAGAAUGAUGAUGGUGAGAAGUAUCACCAUACCAAGAAUUCUCAAGAGGUGGUGAAAUUCCCACGACAUCCUUGACAUAAAAGAUGGCAAUAUUCCAACGUAGAACAUAACACAAGUGGGGUAGGAAGGAACUCAAGGUAAUACACAAAACAUGAGCAGGUUUGUGUUGGAGGGAGGGCAAUAACAUUGCCGAUGAUAAUACAAACCAUCGAGGGGCAAGGAUGGUAUUUCUCAUCAAGAAUUCGAUAGAUAUCUUGGAAGACCCCAGAAUGUUGACGAUGAUCACGACACAUUUGUCGAGAGGUUUCGAGAAGAUGUAACUGAUCGGCGAUGACAUCAAGUCAACGGAAAUGAUGAAGCCAAAAGUCAUUGGAACCAUGGGUACGACACAAACUCGAAAUCAAGCUUGAUGUUCAAGGACAGACGGUAUGACGAGGAAGAUCGAUUGUAAGAUUAGCUCACCGUCGAAUUUUGUGCUCCGAGGAGAAGGACCCGGUAGCACAGUUAAAAUUUAGCAUGAUAAUGAUAUAGCCGAUCAGGCUAGGAAUGAUGUGAUCGGGUACAAACUCGUACUUAUAGAAGCUUACCGAAGGGUUGUUGAAUCGUAGUGUGGACUCGGUUCAGUUAUUGGUGUCUUUGAGUGUUUAGUAAUUCAGAGCCCGUGAAAAAUUGGAAUCAGUGGGAACGUAGCACUUGAUGAAGAACUCAUAAGAAGUUAUGCAGUUCCAUGAUAAUCUCGAGAUACCAGGGGCGUAAUACUCGAAGACGGAUCAAAGUAGAGGUUGGACCGGGUAUUGAUCCACAGAAGACAAGUGCUUACACUUGCAUCGAAAAUGGUAUUUAAAGGAGAACAUGGUCGGAACCACGAUUGUAAAAGGGCAGACCCCAGAUAUAAGAUGAACUUAUAUCAAGGGAAUAAUUAAUUUUAAAAGAAGCUUCGAUGAGAAGAUGUACAUCGUGUCCAUGGGCAUGAACACAAAGUUCAAGGUCGACUCCCACAUCUCCAACACAUAACCUUUCAUUCACUUCUCGUUUCUUUUCGAAAUGGCAUUAGUUGUUGAAAGUUUUACCUGGUGCAAUACCAGAUAAGUAGGACCUGUGAAAUCUUUCGAGUUUGCACAGAUUAGGGGAGGCAUUGGUUCAACCCAUCGGGGCUUCUUAGGAACAUAUACCACAACCUUCGAUAGUAAUUUAUCACUAGCUCGAAAGUAGAGCAAGGUUGAGAAAGUAGAUGACACAAUUUACCAAAGGCAUUAUGUAUCAGGGGAAGAACUCACAAAGUGAUCAAAUGUGAAGGACACUGUUGGAUAACAAUCCAACAAAGGACUUGAUGGUCCACAAAGGAUCUGAUGUGAGUAUCGAUACUCAACCAAAAGAGGAAGGAAUGCAAAUGCAACUGGUUAUGGAAUCAUCUGAAUAAUUCAAAGCUUAAAUGCAAUGGAAUUAUGAUUUCCAAAACAAAGGAUCAGAAGCAGACGCUCUGAUCAAGGAUGGAUAAGUUGGAUAGACCAGAGGCACAAUUGACGACAAAUAGUUUGGUCGAGAACCAGCUCAUGUUCAAAAUGAUGUCUAAGCCGGAAUGAUAAUUUAGAAGGGUUGAUAGAUGAUUGUGUGCAUUCGCACACAUGUUGAAUCAAUAGGAUCAAAAUGAUGGUGUCAAAAGAUACUAGUGAAUAUUGCCAGAUAUAUGGGAAACAUCCAUAAUGCAAGUAGACAAGUAUUUGCAAAGCAAUAAAGCUGCUAAGGAUUUUCGAAGGAUCGAAUAGUAUUUCGAAGAUUUUUGUGAAACACCUGAACAACUGUGAAGGAGCGGAUACUCGAUAAGUGCGAGAAUUACCCGUAGGGGUAUUAAGGUGACAAAGAACAGCAAGGCAGUAAGCUCAAAGGAUUAUCGAAACAACGACGAGUUUUUCGGGGUAUCUUGUAAUAACAAGAUCAACUGGGAAACAUUGUAUGAAUGGCGAGUAUACGUGCUUAUCCAUAGGGGUUUAUCGAUGGAAGGGCAUUGCAUAAGUGACCAUAAAGUUUCGAGAGAACAUCGGAGAGUAUCCUCGGAUCCUUCUGGUGCAGCAGACGAUCACCUAUAACAAGGGGCUCUUCGGGUGAAAGUGAUAACGAGAUCCUAAUGUUAGAUUUAGCAAAAAUCAUUUAACCCGAAUAGAAGAGAGAUCAGAGUCCCAGAGUAUAGGUCGAGGAAUAAAAGAUCCUAAUACCACCCAAUUGGCGACGUGGGCCCAUGGGCCGCACAACCAUGUUAGUAAAAGUUUUGCAAUGACUAGACUCGACUUCGGCCAAGGAGUGUGGAAGGGGGAUUCCUACAGGCAGUCGGCUCUGAUACCAACUUGUGACGCCCCCGAUUUAAUCGUACACUAAUCAUGCACGCAAACGUGUACGAUCAAGAUCAUGGACUCACGGGAAGAUAUCACAACACAACUCUAAAACAUAAAUAAGUCAUACAAGCAUCAUAAUACAAGCCAGGGGCCUCGAGGGCUCGAAUACAAGUGCUCGAUCAUAGAUGAGUCAGCGGAAGCAACAAUAUCUGAGUACAGACAUAAGUUAAACAAGUUUGCCUUAAGAAGGCUAGCACAAACUGGGUUACAGAUCGAAAGAGGCGCAGGCCUCCUGCCUGGGAUCCUCCUAACUACUCUUGGUCGACAUCAGCGGCCUGCACGUAGUAGUAGGCACCUCCAGUGUAGUAGGAAUCAUCGUCGACGGUGGCGUCUGGCUCCUGGACUCCAGCAUCUGGUUGCGACAACCAGAAAGAAAGGAAAGGGGGAAAGGGGGGGGAGAAAGCAACCGUGAGUACUCAUCCAAAGUACUCGCAAGCAAGGAGCUACACUACAUAUGCAUGGGUAUAUGUGUAAAGGGCCAUAUCAGUGGACUGAACUGCAGAAUGCCAGAAUAAGAGGGGGAUAGCUAGUCCUAUCGAAGACUACGCUUCUGGCAGCCUCCGUCUUGCAGCAUGUAGAAGAGAGUAGACUGAAGUCCUCCAAGUAGCAUCUCCAAGUAGCAUCGCAUAGCAUAAUCCUACCCGGCGAUCCUCCCCUCGUCGCCCUGUGGAAAAGCGAUCACCGGGUUGUCUGUGGAACUUGGAAGGGUGUGUUUUAUUAAGUAUCCGGUUCUAGUUGUCAUAAGGUCAAGGUAAAACUCCAAGUCGUCCUGUUACCGAAGAUCACGGCUAUUCGAAUAGAUUAACUUCCCUGCAGGGGUGCACCAACUUACCCAACACGCUCGAUCCCAUUUGGCCGGACACACUUUCCUGGGUCAUGCCCGGCCUCGGAAGAUCAACACGUCGCAGCCCCACCUAGGCACAACAGAGAGGUCAGCACGCCGGUCUAAACCUAAGCGCAUAGGGGUCUGGGCCCAUCGCCCUUAGCACACCUGCACGUUGCGUACGCGGCCGGUGAGCAGACCUAGCAACCUCCAUUACAAAGGAAGUUGCGUUAACGCAGUCCAACCCGGCACGCGCCACUCAGUCGCUGACGUCAAGAAGGCUUCGGCUGAUACCACGACGCCGGGAUACCCAUAACUACUCCCGCGUAGAUGGUUAGUGCGUAUAGGCUCGUAGCCAACUCAGAUCAAAUACCCAGAUCUCGUUAAGCAUGUUAAAUAUCCGCGAACGCCGACCAGGGCCAGGCCCACCUGUCUCCUAGGUGGUCUCAACCUGCCCUGCCGCUCCACCACAAAGUAACAGUCGGGGGCCGUCGGGAACCCAGGCCCACCUCUACCGGGAUGGAGCCACCUGCCCCUUCAGCCCCCAUCUCCGAACAGUAUCACAUGUAAUGUAACUGUGUAAAGUAUAUCGUAUAUGCCCGUGAUCACCUCCCGAAGUGAUCACGGCCCAGUAGUAUAGCAUGGCAGACGGACAAGAGUGUAGGGCCACUGAUGGAACACUAGCAUCCUAUACUAAGCAGUAGGAUAGUAGGUAAUGGUAACAACAGUAGUAGCAAGGACAGGCUAUGCAUCAGGAUAGGAAUAACGGAAAGCAGUAACAUGCUACACUACUCUAAUGCAAGCAGUAUAGAGAAAAUAGUAGGCGAUAUCUGGUGAUCAAAGGGGGGGCUUGCCUGGUUGCUCUGGCAAGGAGGGGGUCAUCUUCGAUGUAGUCGAACACACGGACAUCGGCAGCGGUCUCGGAGUCUACCGGAAAGGAGUAGCGGAGGGGGAACACAAUAAAUAACAGAGCAAUCAAAUGCAACACAAAGCAAGACGCGGCAAUACGCGGUGCUAGGUAUGUCCUAACGCGGUAUUAUGUGAUACCGGCGAAAGGGGGAAACAUCCGGGAAAGUAUUCCCGGUGUUUCGGGUUUUCGGACAGAUGAACCGGAGGGGGAAAGUUGCGUGUUUGAUAUGUUAGGGGUGUGUGGUGGACGAACGGACUGCGUAUCCGGGUUCGUCUCGUCGUUCUGAGCAACUUUCAUGUUGAAAAUAUUUUAAUCCGAGUUACGGAUUAAAAGUUAUGUUUUUCUAAAGAUUUUAUUAAUUUCUGGAAUUUAAUUAAUUAUUUAAUUAAUUCGAAAAACAGAUUAAUGACAUCAGCAUGAUGUCAUGCUGACAUCAGCAGUCAACAGAGUUGACUUGGUCAACCUGACAUGUGGGUCCAGGGGGACCCACCUGUCAUUCUCUAUGAUUAACUAAAACAGAUUAAUUAGCUUAAUUAGUGAUUAGGUGAAUCUAAUCAAGAUUAAUUAACUUAAUUAAUUACUUAAUUAAUAUUUUAAUUAUUUUAGUUAUUAUUUAUUUAUUUAUUUAAUAUAUUCUUUNNNNNNNNNNNNNNNNNNNNNNNNNNNNNNNNNNNNNNNNNNNNNNNNNNNNNNNNNNNNNNNNNNNNNNNNNNNNNNNNNNNNNNNNNNNNNNNNNNNNNNNNNNNNNNNNNNNNNNNNNNNNNNNNNNNNNNNNNNNNNNNNNNNNNNNNNNNNNNNNNNNNNNNNNNNNNNNNNNNNNNNNNNNNNNNNNNNNNNNNNNNNNNNNNNNNNNNNNNNNNNNNNNNNNNNNNNNNNNNNNNNNNNNNNNNNNNNNNNNNNNNNNNNNNNNNNNNNNNNNNNNNNNNNNNNNNNNNNNNNNNNNNNNNNNNNNNNNNNNNNNNNNNNNNNNNNNNNNNNNNNNNNNNNNNNNNNNNNNNNNNNNNNNNNNNNNNNNNNNNNNNNNNNNNNNNNNNNNNNNNNNNNNNNNNNNNNNNNNNNNNNNNNNNNNNNNNNNNNNNNNNNNNNNNNNNNNNNNNNNNNNNNNNNNNNNNNNNNNNNNNNNNNNNNNNNNNNNNNNNNNNNNNNNNNNNNNNNNNNNNNNNNNNNNNNNNNNNNNNNNNNNNNNNNNNNNNNNNNNNNNNNNNNNNNNNNNNNNNNNNNNNNNNNNNNNNNNNNNNNNNNNNNNNNNNNNNNNNNNNNNNNNNNNNNNNNNNNNNNNNNNNNNNNNNNNNNNNNNNNNNNNNNNNNNNNNNNNNNNNNNNNNNNNNNNNNNNNNNNNNNNNNNNNNNNNNNNNNNNNNNNNNNNNNNNNNNNNNNNNNNNNNNNNNNNNNNNNNNNNNNNNNNNNNNNNNNNNNNNNNNNNNNNNNNNNNNNNNNNNNNNNNNNNNNNNNNNNNNNNNNNNNNNNNNNNNNNNNNNNNNNNNNNNNNNNNNNNNNNNNNNNNNNNNNNNNNNNNNNNNNNNNNNNNNNNNNNNNNNNNNNNNNNNNNNNNNNNNNNNNNNNNNNNNNNNNNNNNNNNNNNNNNNNNNNNNNNNNNNNNNNNNNNNNNNNNNNNNNNNNUUGUUUCUUUUAUUUAUUUUCUCCUCUGUUUUAAUUCAAUUUAAAAUAUUUAUGCAUCUUAUAAAACUGUGUCUUCUACACCAUAAUUAUCUAUGUAAUAUCUAGUACAAACCGAACAAUUUUAUUUUAAUGUUUGAAGACUUUUAUUAUUUACCAAAUUUUGAAUUUGAAUUUGAAUCGGUUUCGAACUAACUCGAGAUUAGCAACUAUAAUCGAGGUGACGUGGCAUCACUAGCAGAGGAUCACUGUAGCUUAAUUACCCGGGCGUCACACAUUGAUCUACAACAGAAUAUCCAAUCACUAAGUAAUGUGUUUAUGUAGAGUAAUUCUAUCCUAAACAGAAAUACUCCCACUGAAGUCAGCAUCCCUCCGCAAACUCUCAGUGAUUCAGGAUCCGACUAGCACAUGCGAGUAGUGAGCUUUAGCGUCACUGCUAGACAACAUGCCUAUCCGGUAAGCAACUCCUUGCUAAUCGCAUCUCUAUACGACUCCUGUCGGUCGAGAAGGUAUCUUAUACCCCGGCUCCCAACCUUCUUUGCCACAAGGCCCAAAACCGUUUUGAUAGCCUUGUCAAGUUAACCUGAUGCAGUGCAUGUCCGUGUCCGACAAGAACCCUUCAGUUCAAGGACACCCAGCAGCACCCUAAUUUUAUGAGCCCACUACUAGACGUACUUGACGUGCGAAGGUGCAACAUCGGGGAUGGCAAUUCUCUUGAUAUUCAUGAGGGAUCUUUCUACCAUUCUAACAUGCAUAGAAACAAAGAAGGAUAACAAUCACAAAUAAACACAUAUUGUGAAAUAGUAUGUCUCCUUCAUGGACGUUCUUCCAGGUCGGCUCCGACUCCGAUGACCAUCUACGAACUCCAUCUUGUUUGUCACGCCGGGACGCCAAGCCACCAACCUGAUCUCUAUUAUCCAACUACUACAACUAGUAAUGAAUUUUACAUAGGGUCACAAGCCGACACGCAGGACGUUAUACAAUAUAAUGACAACACUUUGGCUCCUGCCGGCUGACAAACAUGACACGCAUGCCACGUACAAAUUACACACAUGCAUCACAUACACAUGAGCCAUACUAUUCACAUCAAACCUGCAAAACAAAGUUAUGCAUAGAAUCACAUUCUACCGGUUUGUGUGUCGGGUACGAAAUAACGACGCUACGCACACGGCGGUCCCGCUAGCCGGUUAGCGGGUGGGGUUCGAAGGGGUAGCGCCCCUCGUGGGUGCGGGCAACGCUCGACAUUUUCGGAAAUCACAGAUCACAUCUGAACUCCGAUCACGCCGAAUUUUCUGAUCUGACCGAUCUUAUCGAUCAUCGCGAGUCCAAUUCGGGUUUACGUUUCACUGUUGACCCCGAUGGCGGAUGACCGACCGGUAGGGGUAGACCGUGUCACGGCCUCAUCGACUCCGAUCAUCAGAAAACAUAGCCUCUUCAAUCCCCAUGUGCAAUUGAUCUCAUCAACCGUGCAUAUAGCCUAUCUCAUCAAGGACAGCGGAUCUCAUCUGCUGCCUCCAUAUAUCUAAUAUGCAUACGAUCCGAAUCCAAAUCCUAUAGCAGAGGCUCUGAUACCACUGUUGUGGUCUACGGUAGGGUGCGUCGACUACAAAUUAAAAUUUUCUACACGCAGAACAACCAAGAACAUGCUACGGGAGAUGGAUCACAGUUUGUUACCACUAGAUGCGCAGUGUCGUGCAGCGGAAGAAGAGUUGGGGCAGCGCGUCCGCGUGGAUCAUCUCCUCCUCGUCCGAUCUCCCUCGAACAGCCAGUCAUCCGAUCCCACGUACAAGUUCGCUGGAGCGGCGCAAGUGCACCACCUCUAAUGGUAUCCGCGCGUGCAUGAGGAACACCGUGCGACGGACUGCUAGGUCCGAUCACACAGUCGGCGGCGAGUGGAGGUGGCUAUUCGCAACACAUGCAAACCCUAGUCACAGCGCCGAAGCAAUCAACCACAUGAGUGUGCCGCACCUCCACUUUAUAUAGGCGUCCGUCACAGGCUCAACACUUGGGCCUCGCACGGACCCUAAAGCCCAAAGUCUACUCGGUCACGUUCCUAGUCCAGUUCGGAUCACAUCCGACCAGUGUCCUACGAACCGACCUCGUAGGUUCCUUCCCUUAAGCGCGCGACCCCUUAGGUUCAAGUCGGCGUGGUCAUAGUUCGGAUCACCUCCGACCUGCACAGUUGGUAGCGGCCUCUAGCAAGGCGUGCCGACCACCAAGCAGACUAUGAAGCUGGUUAGGCGAACCUGUACAACGUGUCACACUUCUGUUCCCUUUGCCUCACGAUAUAUGUUGUCGGGCUCAAGGCGAGACUGUCAUCCUUGUGCUAGCCCGACCUCUUUCUCGUUCCAGUGAUACCGACCACAAACCGGAUUAUCUCAUAAUCCCUGUCGCAUGGCCAUGCUUAUCCUAGCCGGAUCACACGAGGGGCCCAGAGUAUAUCUCUCCUGAUCGGAGGGGCAAAUCCCAUCUUGCUCGACCAUGUCUCGCAGCAUGGGACUGGACAAACCCGAAACCUACCUUUGUAACUACCCAGUCAGGAGUAGCGUUUGGUCGGCCCAAAGCAAGUCUGUCACCAUCCCGAGUACAUGCGUCAGCUCAGGUCUUAGGACAUAGAACAUAUGUUGUACUAGAGACUCACAGAUGACAUAUCGCUGCGUCUCAUAGUUGGGUCUGUCCGACUCGGACCUUAUCUCAACUCGGAUCCGACUACGUCAAAUCCGACCAGACCUUUCCAAGUCCAUAUUUUCCGGUUAGCAUCCAAUGCUCCAUGGCCAGUGAGACCAAGCCAUCGACUGUGUCAUAUGCUAGGCUAGUCGUCUGCGCGUCCACACAACCCUUUCGACUAGGAACCUUUUAGGACAGUCACCAUACAAUGCAUAGUCCCACAAACAAGUCACGUACUUGCCGAUACACAUUAUUGAUAAUGUCCAAGGACUAUCUUUAUUCAUAAACACAUAGAAAAUAUCAUCAUACAUGAUUGCCUCUAGGGCAUAUCUCCAACAAAUAAUGCCAAUGCUUUUGGCUGCUGUUACUGGCUCGAAACAGCAAAAUCAAGUCUGGAAACAUGUAUGGUAAUGGUGUUAACAAAAAAAUGUAAGAUGUUUUUUCCAGCAUGCUUUCUUAGCUAUGACACUUUGAUUUAGAUUACUCUGCUAGGACACUAGAACUAGCAUUCUAUGAGUGGAAUAAUUAAUUUUUUAGCACCAUUACCAAAUUGUUACUUUGUAUUUCUGAAAUUUUAAUAUAAUUGAAUGUGGUGAAACGUAGUGAAAAAAUUGUUGACUUUGAUAAAGAGGCUAAAUUGGAGGAAAGCACUUCUGCUAUAUUCAUCAGUAAUACCGCACCAUAUACUACAGAAGCUUGGACCACCGAGUCAGUUGUUUCUGAUGGAUCUUCUUGGCAUCAACAAUAUCAAUCAACUUCCCAGACACGUGCUUUAUUUUGUUUCUUUAGCUCAAUGAAAAACCAUGUCAAGUUCUAUUUUACCUUCAGGGUGUUGUCAAAAUGAUUUUCGUGAGUAGCCAAGGGACAAAUGCCAAUCUCUUGUUAUCUUCUGGUCAUGCUUCAAUGCAGCAACGAUAUAACUGAGUAAAGAAAUGUUUUUAUAAAGCAGCCAGAGUGUGCAUUCGUGAAAGAUGAUAUGGUUGGCAAAUUCGUGGGGAACACGGUGCACGAGCUGCUCUGUCCCAAGGGAGGCACGGCGGCAGGCAGACUGAACAUAGCGGCCAUAGCCUAGUGGGAGCCGGGAGAGUUUCUGUCGGCCUUGUCUUGGGGCGGGCAGGUGAAUUUGUUUUGUUCGUCAGCUCGAGAAAUGCCAGAUCGGCACCAAAAGUCUUUCCCCUUUUGUGGCAUACUCAAAGUGUUUAUUUGGCAAGCACAAUGCAUAACACUCAUCUACAUCUACACUACUUAUAAAAGAUCAAACAUAAUCUUUUCUAAACGCACCCCACAAAAUAUACACGGGCUAAUUACUGUCUUAAGAUUAGGCCCACUAAACUAAUCUAAUGGUUAGCCAUAAUCUGAUCUGUUUCUGUGUGCAUUUAGCAAUUUAGGUUGACUCUCGGAGAAAAUAAUCCAACGUCUCGCGUCCGCAACUCUUGCAAUCGCACGUCAAAAGAAAAACUCCUGCAAUCACGCACUCCAUCCAAACUGCCAUCGGUUAACCUCUCUCCCUUAAUUAGCGCCAACCUCAACAAAUCCAUCCAUGUACGAAGCGUCCAUACUUCCAUCACAGAAGAGAGAAACUCCCCCAAAGCAUGAAGGCCGCACGCCACUGCCAGCGAGACGCCGCCGCCGGGACGCACGAGCCACUGUCGUGGACAUGCGAGGGCCGAGGAGGAGCUAUGCCUUCUUCUGGGCACCAACGCACGCGUCGCCCGAUGCGCCGCGAGUUUUGGCUACAACGCCUCACCUCCACCGCGCCGGACAGCCCAGUCUCCUCCCGGGGUCCGAGUGAUUCCUUAAAUUCUUGCGUGUUUAACUUCUGGUUUGUCAUUAUCAACGAAAGAAAUCUGCAAAUUCUCUUGUAUCCUGCCUAGGUGUCUCAACUCCUAACCUCUUGGCAUUAUCCUAUUUGUCAUUACAACACGGACAAGAGAUUCAAACACUCAGGUUCAUGAUGCAUCUAUGGGUGAGUUCUGAAUUUUGUUCAAUUUGUUGCACAACAUGGUGGCUGUGCGUGCUUGCAAUGGCACGGUGAUAGCAAGGAAGUCCAGUGUCACCUCGCAAAGUGUUUUUUACCGGAGCCGGGAGCUACCGGUGAUCUUGCCACCAAUGAGGUGCUGCCACAUCUAAAAUUGUGGGACCAUGUGUAUGUGUAUAUAAAAGUAUUCAAAGCAAAAUAUCUCUUGUAUUUCUGAUUUAAGUCUAAUCAAUGUCAGAAUGAUGCAGUACCUUUUAACAGGAACUGUACGCAUGCAUGCAUGCAGAAUCUCUCCUCUCUCUCACACACAAAUCCAUCCAUUUUAUCUUUGUUUAAAAUUUUAGAUGUACAAUACCUCUCACACUAAUUUUCUAUAAUUGAAAUAUUUUAUAUACUCAAAUUCCUGAACAUGUGAUCUAUAGAACAAGACCAAUUUUGAAUAUAUUUAAACUAGUUUAAGUUUUUCUAUUUCAAUCAUAUCAAAAUUUAAAUUUCACUUAUUUCAAAUUAACUUAUUCGAAAUAAUUGGAAUCAAUUUUGAAACUAGUGAAAAUAUUUUUUGAAAUAAGUGAAAUCAGUUUUCUGAAACUAGUUUGUUCAAACAUGUCAAACUGAUUAUUUCAAAACAUUUUGGUAACGAAUGAAAUAAGUAUAAUGAAAUGAGUGAAGUCAGUUCUUUUGAAAUGAAUGCAAUCAGUUUUAUAUUGAAAUGAUUGAAACCACUUUUCUAAAUAUAGUUUUCUUUGUGAGUUUCAUAUUCCAGUUUAUGAAACUGUUUCUUCAAAUGGAGUAACUGUGAUGUGUUUUUCUCAAACUAAUGAAAUCUAUCUUUUGUAAUGAGUGUAAUCAGUUUUUGAAACAAAUUGAAAUAUAGUAUUUCAAUUGAGCGACUGUAAUGUGUUUUCUGAAAUGAGUGAAAUGAGUUAUUUGAAAAAAGUGAAAUAUGUCUUUUUGGUGUGAAACGACUUUUUCAAUGUGUGAAACUGAUAUUUCUGCUGAGUGAAAUAUGUUUCAAUAUUUCUUUCGAAAUAUGUUUUCUCAACUGAGAGAAAUAUGUUUUCACAACUGAGUGAAAUCAUUUUCUUCAUUGAGUGAAAUAUGUUUCUUCAGAUGACUGAAAUUUGUUUUCUAAACAUAAAGAAAAUAGUUUUUUUAAUGAUUGAAAUCAACUUUCUGAAAUUAGUGAAACUAGUAUUUUGAAACGACUAAAAUAUGUGUUUUCUAAUGUGUGAAAAUAUGUUCUCUCAACUAAGUGAGAUAUGUUUUCUCAACCGAGUGAAAUUAUUUUUCUUAAAUGAGUGACAUCACUUUCUUCCGAUGAGUGAAAACAGCUAUAUUUGAAAUAGAUGAAAUGCAUAAAAAUAGUUAAUUUCAGAAAAGGUAAAAUAUGUUUUCUCAAAUGAGUGAAAUAUUUUUUCUAAAACAAGUAAAAUAUGUGUCUUAAAAUAAGUGAAACCAAGGUUUACCAAAGUUGAAAUUAUUAUUUUGAAAUUUGCAAAACCGGAGCAAACACUUCUAUGAAAUAGCAAAACAAUCUUAUGUUUUAUGAAAGUGAUGCCAAAGAAAAUUGAAAUAUAUAAAUAAAAGUAGUUCAAAUAUAUCCAACAUUGACCUUAUUCUAGAGGUCUUGUCAACAUGAUUUCAAAUAUAUAAAAAAAUUCAAAAAUAGACAUUCACUUUAAAAUAUAUCAAUCAUUCAAAAUAUAUGAAUGAAAUAAAAUGCAUGUCAUUUAUGUGGGGAGAGAGAAUCAUGCAUAUGCCGGGUCAGCCUCUCCAUUCCAACUCUCUCUCUCCUGACAAAGUUGCAUGGCAUGCAUGUAUUUGAUCAGAUGUGUCAGUGUGUGCCAGUCGUAUUUAGAUAGUAUAAAAGGUGUAAUAUAUACUCUGACAGAGUGCACGAAUCUUGACGAAACUAGGUGAACGGCGGAUGGUGUGCCGGUACCUCCCGCCUCCGGUAAAAUUACUUAUUCGAGUGUCACCUUUGUUUCUCUAUUCAGGUGUGCUCACUUUGGUUGUCUGAUGUACUAUUUUGUCUACGUGUUGGCCAAUAGUAUCUCUGUAGUACUUCAUCUGUGUGUGUGUUGGUAGGAAUAUUUCAUGUGUGAUUGCUACAAGUUCCACUGAAAAUCAAAAGUCUCCUAUAUUAUUACCACUUUACUGCCAGGGAUUUAUAUUAUUUCCCUUGUAUGUAUAUGUGCUACAGAUGUUAAAAAAAGUGAUAUUCAUGCUAUUUUAUAGGACUCCUGGCACUGCGAUGCAUGAGUGUUGGCAACUAUAAUUCAGUCAGCGUUUACUAUGAAGGAAUGAACUACAAGAUUUUUUUUGUAGUCGUAGGACUUCUUUUGUUAUAAGGGUAACUAGCAAGUGUUAGUUUUGAUUUAUGUUGUUAUGAUAUAGGAGCCAUAUGCAAGGGUCUUGAGGUCGACUCUGAUAUUUUCAGGGUUAUAGUGGUAACAAGUGAUUUACCACUUUGAUGUUAAAUAAAUGUAUUUCCUGUUGACUGUCAUACUGUCAUGUAAAAAAAAUACAUGAGCUGUCGAAAUUCAUAGUUAUAAUUACUUCUGAUUUGGCUCAGCGGUAUAAACAAAUUAACUUGGUUUACACGAUCGUUUUUAAGAGUACAAGCAUGUUUUCUGCCUUGGUAUGAAUGUAACGGAUAUGUGGUCGCCUAAUAUUAAGAGAAACAUAGGCAUGCAUAAGAAGUUUCAUCGCCAUGUGAAUCUUUUGAUCAUGGGCGUGCUAUUCCAGAGUAAACCAUGAUGUUAUGCUUUAGCUUCUUUACCAAAAUAUGGUAAUGUCUUUUUGAUUUCCAGAAUUUGGUCAUUUACUGUAAAAAAGUAAAUGAGUGCAAUGUUGGCUAAUAUAGAUGGUUUAUAUGUUAAUUUAGAGGGGAGUUUGAUUGUCAAGAGAAGAGUGGUAUGGCAUUAUGAUGAUCUACUUCCUCAUAUAGCUUGUUUAUGAUAUAAUUGUUUUUCAGAAAAGUCCUUAACUGUGUAUAUAUUUCUGAGUAUGCAUCAAAAAACCGAUAAACAGACAUGUUGCAUACUACUAUGCUACUAGGUAAACCAAAGUAUUUUUUGGUUUCAGCACCGGCGACGUCUUUUGUAGAGAAGAACUCACAUUGAUUCUCUAAUACCUGGAUAUUGAGUACAACCCUUUGAUAUCUUUUUUUAUCGUUCUCACUCAUUUUUUAGCUGGCAAGAUCUUUCCUUGCAUGCUUACACUAUUUUUGGGUGGAAAUGGCUGGCUCCUUUAACCAGCUAUCAUGGACUCAUUGUAUGUGAUUUGAAUAUACUGACAUAACAGUUCACUGAUUUUUCAGGGAUUAGGUACCCUUUUUUAUGGUUGGUGUCAAGAUGGCUGAAUAUGUACUUGGAUUGCUUGUACAAGACACAUCUUUUUUCAAUUCGUAUCCACAGUUUCAGUUUGUUAGCUAGCAAAACUAAGUUGCAAAGUAUGGACCAUGUCAUAUUUGAGCAUAAUCUUGGCUGUUUUUGUUGUUAUUUGCUUACACUAAUAGUAAGUACUAAAAUUAUAUUGCAAUAUGGGACAUUCUUGUGAAUUGUCCUUUCUUUUAUGGAUUUUACUGCGAAUGUAUUGUUGAUCUCUCCCAUGUUGUGUUUUAACGAAUGAGCAACCUAAAUGCCUUUUCAGUAACGAAUCUGGAUAAAGAGCUGCAGAGAAUAAAAUCUUAAUGAAGACAUUUCAAAGGAGAUGGGACAAGUAAAUUUAUUGGACUAGAGCAAUAGCCAAUUUUAUUGCUUCGUUUCUCUAUUUUGUUCGUGACGUAUUUUUACACAUAAUCAACUUGGAAUAGAUGAUAUCUCACACUCAAAUUUGAAGUUACUCUUACAUUUUUUUUGAAGCUGGCCGAAUAUUCCUAGCUUUAUCUUGUGAGUGUCUUUAGUUGGAUCUUUGAAUUCACAUUUGGCGUGGUUUACUUAUAAGGGUGUGUUUUGUACUCCCUCCCUUUCUUUUUAUUUUGUAUAUAAUAUUUGAUCAAAGUCAAACUUUAUAAAGUUUGACUAACUUUGUAAGAAAAAAUGUCAACAUCUACAAUACUAAAGCUACAUGGUAUGAAAAUUAAUGUCAUGUUGCAUCUAAUAAUAUUGAUUUCAUAUUGUAAAUGUUGAUAUUUUUUUCUAUAAAGUUAGUCAAACUUGGCAAAGUUUGGCAUUGACUAAUUAAAUUUUAUAUGCAGACUAAAAAGAAAGGGAGGGAGUAGUAGGCGUAUCUUUGGAAGAGCAUUGGUCGAGACGUGCAUUGUACGUGCAAACUUACUAGUAUAAGAAAGUGCCAAACAUGCAUUACAGCAGGAACUGAUGUAUGCACUUUGAUUGUUUUCAUGGUUAAUUGCAGCUGGCAUUCCAUGCAGAACCAAUAGUUGGACGCCAGUGAAGAACUGCUCCACCAUUACGCCCUCUGGACGUCUACGCCGGUGCCACUUCUCCUCAAAUACAUGCAAAGAAGCGCGCGUCGAAUCAUCGGAGACAGAGAAGGGAUGCAUCCGGUGCAUUACAUGAAGUGUUUGUUCCGCACGGUGCAGUUCCUGCACGAAAAGGAGCCCCAGAAUGGAAGGACAUACACUAACAGUUGUUAUGUGAAGAAGGUAUAUGCAACAAUUCAUCCAGUCCACCUCCCGACCGGGGAUUGCUAAGUAUCUAAUAGUUAAACGGGGUGAUUAAGCUGCACUGAGCACUCAUGGUUUGGACAUAUAUGCAUUCAUGUUAGACUUAGACCCCAACAGUUAAUGUUCGGAUAUUUUUUUACCACUUGCUCCAUCGUCAGUUAAUUGAAACAGAGAAUGAGAAACAACAUAAGAAGGAUUAGUGAUUCUUUUCAAGGAACCGACUGGUGUUACCCAAGAUUUGUGGGUUGGUGAUUUCGUUAGCAUUUGUAUUAUAGUAUCUUUUCAAUUAUUGAGGCAUCUAAACAACAAUCUCGGAUGAAUCUUUUCAACUGAAACUUAGCAGAGAACAGAUUCAUCUUUUGAAUGUGAAGCUAGCACUAUGGAGUCAUAUGAAGUAUCUAAGUGAGCUCAUCUAUGGUUAGACAUAUGAUUUGCUGCCGCCAUCGCGGAUUCUCUACAUUCUGAGAGCAUUCACAUUUAUUGGGCCUUUUGUUGUGAAUAUGGGUAAGUAUUGUCUAUCACAUGAAGCCACAACUUUCCCUAACAUACCUAAAUAUUUUGUUUGAUUGAUAACCAUACUAUGUGAUUGGUAAUCAGAAGUACAGAACACGAAGGUUUGCUCCUGAAACUAAUAGAUGUUCACAUGGGUCCUUUCUAAUUCCGACCAAGAAUUUAAUUCUGUAGGAUUUCUACAACCAACAUGGACACCAUGUGUUUGCUAAGUUUCUUUGGAUGGAGUCGUGUUAUUUCCUUCUUUUACCAUAUAUAUCAAUGUUUUCAUGUCUAGCAAUAGUGGUUAUAUAUUAUUGUUGUAACACUGGCUCCUUGUUGUGUUGACAUGCCUAUAAGGCUGACUCUUCCUUCAUCUACUAGCGUAGCAGAGACUAGUGAGGUUGUCGAUGUUUGUGUGGUUCCCUAUGAAAUUGGUUAUGUUGGAUUUGCUAUGGCUAAAGCUUCUCGCAAGGUAAUUGCUACAGUUCUAUUGAUAAUCACUUCCGAAUUUUGCCAGUUAUAGAUUUUAUUCCUUGGUAUCUUAGGCUAAUUAUCUAAUUGGUGUUCCUCCCAUAGACUAGUAAAACACUCUUUGCUAUAUUAAGCUAUCGGUUGCACCGGUAAAUGGAUAUAAAUUAGAUGGCAAUAAGAAAAUAGUCGGCAUGGGGUCCAUGAAAGUAGCAUGAUUCUUAUCACCAUGAUAUACAUCAACAUGUUAGAAGAAGUUAUACAAACAUUAUUCUGCAAUUGUGCGUAGGCUCUUUCUCCAAAUAACUUGUUAUUCUUUCUUUGAAUUGUUAGUUUUGUUAAACUUCAUGAUUACAAAUUACUAGCAGACUAGCACCAAAGUUACUUGCAUCAAAACUGACAUAUAUUUAUAUGUGUGAUGAAGGCAUUUUUUAUUUUUAUUCAUCACUACUUGAUGAUGCUUCCUUUUUUUUCUGCGGGUGAACUUAAUUGAUGAUGCUUCCUGCUAUGAAGAAAGAAGAAAAAUAGUUUUUUCAGCCAUUUUUGUAUCUCACACUCCAUUAUGACGCUUUCUAGACCUGGGACGUCAAAGUACACAUUUUCCUCAAAAUUUAUACUAAAAAACAGAAUGACUCUACUUGUCCGAUUGUUAAUACUAUCAUUUACUUUAAAGUUGGAUUGCCUUGAUCGGUUGAGCAAUGAACAAGAAAAUGGUACCAUCUCUUUGUUUGCAAACACAAUGUACAUAGUAAUUUUCUUCUUCAUCCAUGAGAAGCAUCUAUUUUCCAUUCAUGACAAAAGAUCCACUUGGCUUUCUUCAUUUUUAUAUACGAGUUUUUGAAGCUAUGUUUCAUCGUUCCAGAUCAUGCACAGUUCAAGCAUAUCUUAUCUGAGCUAUACUUAGUGGUUUAUUGCAGAAGGACAUUAUGACGUAUAUAGUGCAUUCUGCAACUUAGUUCACCCAGGAGUUGUUUGUGUUAAAAGAUGAUGUUCGCAGGUUUGAGCAUCAUCAAAUCUUUAAAAUCUUGAAAAGGUUGAAAAUCACUUUGUAGUAAAAGGUCACACAAAACUGUAAUUUUGAACAAAUGUGCUUAAGCCUUGUACAGUGUUGCUACAUCGGUUCCAUGUUUAAAGAGUAGAAAUAUUUUUUUAGAAAAGGAGGACGACCCCCGGCCUCUGCAUCUGGGCGAUGCAUACGGCCAUUUUAUUAAUAAUUGACACAAGACCGUACAGAGUCAUACAACAAUAAGUCUAAAGCCACCAAAACAAGCAACAACUGUCGCUAUCCCUAUCCAGUUGAUGUAGGGGCGCUGAAAGUCUGGGCCUAAUACCAAACAGACCACGCAGCCAAACCUAAACAUCUAAAGACUUGAGGUCCCACCCAGGACGCCUGCCUGGUAUGGGCACCCACCAGUCCGGCGUGCUUCUCAACCAAGACCCCUGCCGGGUAUGAGGCCGCCGCAGCCGCCUGCCACCAAUCCAUCUUCAGAGCUGUACUGUUGCACCGACCUUGCCAGGCCUAUCUGCCAUCAACGCCACCAUGACGCCAGACAGCUUCCACCUCCUGCACGAGUCCAUCUCCGCGCAUCAGACGCCGAGUCUCCACAGCGCCACGCCGCCGAGAUCCGCCACCAUCAAUGUGUAAGAUGAAGCACCACUCCACCAAAGUCACCGUCCUCUAGUCCCUCGAGCCCGUGUGCACCUCCAAGAAUGACGCCCCCAGGGGGGAAACGACACCAGCGAGCCGCCGUCAUCCGAUCUACUGAUCUAGGGUUUCCCCCGGAGGUAGCAGAGAGUGGCCUUGAACUUCUCCACGACGAUGCCUUCAGGAAGGGAACGACGCAGACAGCGUCGCCAUCGCCGGCCUUGGCAAUCGCCAAUAGCAGGUUUUCACCCGGAUUUGAUCGAAGACCUCCAUCCCUCGUGCACGGGUCGCCAAACCGCCGGGCACGCACCACCGGAACCACAAUCCAUCGGCCAACCCCAAAGCGUUGCCGCCGCGAGGUCAGCUUUGGCUGCGGCGCCGGCAUCCAUCCCCGACCCCCGGCCCAUCCCACCUCCUCCCCCCCGGAUGAAGAAGAGGAGGGGAAGGCCGAGGCCGAGGCCACCACUGCUGCGCCGACCCCUCCGCCAGCCGGCCACGGCGGAGGAAGCCGCCCGCAGCCCGCACCGCCCGCAGCCCGCCCCAACCAGAUCUGGAUCGAGCCGCCGCCGUCACCACACCAGCCGAGCACCACCGAGGAGCAUCCCAUCACGCCACCCGCACACCCGCGCGCCAACCUGCGCCGAUGAGGGGCCGCGCCGCGGCGCCCCGCGAGAACGCCGUGACCAGAUCCAGGUCGGCCGGCCCGCGCCAGCCCUCCCGAACGAGGCGAUGAAGACGCCCCGCCGCCGCCGGCGCCGGCCGGGCUUCGCCCGGGCGCGCCCUCUGGCGGCGGCGGGAGGAGGAGGAGGAGAAGAGAGGUGGAGAGGCGGCCGGCGGCUAGGGUUCCUCCCCUGCCGCCCGCGGGAGCGCCAGAGGAGGACGAGUCGUUGGUUACUAAUAUACGAGCUAAAGAGUAGAAAUAUAUGAGAAUGAUUUCAUGUACAAGUCAGACCUCCAUCGAUUGGUUGCAAUGUGGCACAAAUUUAGUAUUUCUGAUUAUACGAAAUCUAUGUUUUAACGAAAUGUAUUCACUAUGCUGAAAAUAGACAAGUGGUCAUAAGACCUGAUGGCUAUAGUAUAUUAAGUACAUAGGACUAUCUAAUUGCUUCCAACAUGGUUAAUUACAACCCAGACGCGUGAUGGUUUGGUAUGGUGGAAACAAUAUAUUAAAAAAGUAUACUCCCACUUGGAUUUAAUUUAUUUUAGUAAAUGUAUAUCAAGAUGCCAUUUGCAUCCAAAGAGGUUAGUGAUACAAGGCUCCAAAGAAAAGAAAAUAUAUAAUGGGUCGAGCGAUGAUUGUAAUUUUGCAAAUUUAGAAUAAAAUUCUCAUUUACCCUGCAAAAAUAGAAAUGAUGAAGGGUAGUUUGCGACUUUGCGUCACUUGGUCACUUUGAGUCUGGUCACUAGGGCUGAAGUAUAAUCCAGAAAGCUAAUUGAUAGGAAGGCAGACAUGCUGGCAGCAACAUCCGACGAGUAGGGUGAUGGAUGUGCAGGUUUCAGUAGUGUCAAUACUAUGGUGUCCGCCACACCCGGAGAAGGUGGCGGCACUACGGUGAGUAGCAAGUCGCAUCACCUUGGCGGUCACCUUGCCGUGAAGGUGUGCACUCCUUGACAGAGGGAAUCGGUCUGGGGUGACCAGCCUUAACGAUGAAGGUGUAUCCCUCCUUGCAAUGCCACACUACUGUGCGUGAGUUUUACUAACCCACAUACAUGUCAACUAUUUGGCUGGCAAGAACAGAGAGUUGCGGUCCCUUCUGCACCUCCCGGGCGGAUCUAGCUACCCAAGAUGCCAGACCGGCGGGCGCACUAUCUCAGUGCCAAGGCGGUGGUACGAGAGGUUGUCAGGGGUUGGAGGACACGGGCCACUCCAUGGAAGGAAGAGGAGGAGGCUGGCGACGCCGUGGAUGAGAGGGGAGGCGCUGGAGAGAGGAGCGGGCGGCUGGGCUUCGCCAUGGCGUGGAGGGGAGGUGCCUAGGAGAGAUGUCCGCAGCGACGCUGUGGCGGGGAGAUGAGAUGGGGUAAACCCGGGCAAACGUCGGGCUGGGCCGGGUUUCGGGCCGGGCUUAUAAAAGCCCGACCUUCAUUUCCCAAGCCCGAGCCCGGCCCGAAGCCCGAAAUACUCCCUGUUUUCAAGCCCGAGCCCGGCCCGAAGUCAAGCCCGAAGCCCGAAAGCCCGGCCCGAACGCUGUUUUUUAGUGUACGCACGUGCAAGCCCGACCCGAAGCCCGAAAGCCCGGCCCGAAAUACAUAAAAAAUGAAGCCCGAGCCCGGUCCGAACUAUCUUCCGGGCUGCAAAACUAGGCCCGAGCCCGGCCCGGCCCGGCCCGGGUUUUUCGGGCCGGGCUGCUCAUGCCCGGGUUUAAGAUGGGGUAACAACGAGUGACUGGGUAGCUGUGUGGGGGAGUAGAAGGCGGCUGUGCUGUGAGUGAGUGUCGAGAGGAGUGGCUAAUUUUUUUUCUGUGGAGAAAGGAGCAACUUCUAUGCGGUGACAUCAAUUUCACAUAGCCUAACAAGUCAUUUUUAGGGAAAAUACCAACCAAACUAUCUAUAGGUAGCCUAGAAUUUAAAGUUCACUAAAAUCAGGUGUGACUCACAUUGUACCAUGCAAAUAAAGCUAAAGGCAAUGUUCCUCACAUCAUACAUAAAUUCUUAUUAAACACAUCAAGUAGAUCUUAGUUUGUAAAAAAUAACUAGCUCUAUGUGCACAUCAUUCUAUAGUUUUUUUUAUCAACUUACAUCGCAAGUGAAGUGUAUUUCAAUGACUUUUCGAUUGUUACGGGCUAUCAUUUCUAUGCGUGCAAAAUUUAACAUGCAUUAGUGAUAUAUAUGCAACGUGCAAAAAUAUAUCCAUAGCCCGUAGCAACGCACGGGCAUCCCACUAGUGUAUAUAUAUAAUGUUCAGUAGCUGCGUGUGGUCUAAAUUUGCAACCUCUUUGUGUUUUGGAUUUGGCCCCAACAUCAUGCUUCUCUGGUGAGCUAAGAUUGAUUUCUGUAUGCGGGCUGCACAGACUACCGUUUUUAUAAUUUUUAAAAUAUCACCUGCUUAUUCUUCAUGACAUGUAACAUUAUUGUUAGUCCUGUUUUGCCAGGUACAAAAUAGUCUGUUUUUCUCGCUUCACUGUUGUAACUAUAUCUUUGCCCUAGUCAUGUAUACUUACAGAAACAUUUCAGGAUGAAGUGACAUCAACACAAAGAUCUGCGAGUAGUGCGGUAUGGCCGUUAGCAAAUGAUUAUGGAUUGGAAUUGGAAUAUGCUGAUGUUCUCGAGCAUCAACUAGAGGUGACAAGACAACGUGUACAUGAUUCUCAACAUGCAAUGAACAAGAUGAGACUGGAGUUGCAGGUAUUAGAUGCAGGAGUCAAAAAAGUGAAACGAGACACUUAGGUAACCACAAAGGAAUUGGAGAUUUUGCAGACUGGAAUUUGUGCUAUCUGAAUCCGACCAAUCCUAUUUUCUGAAGAGAUUAUAGUUGAAAUGGUAAGUUAUGUUGAUGCGUGUCCAUGAUGUAUGAGCUUUAUUUGCCCAGUGCAUGUAAUUUGCUGUUUGUGUAUGCUCUAAUAUCUCUAGUGCCGAACUAUAAUGCCCAGUGGGUAUAAUCGGUUGUAAUUUCUUUAUUGUAUAGUGUAGGAUUACUCUGCGUUUCUAUGCCUUAGUCUCUGUAUUGUAUAGUGUAUGUAUUUUAGAGGCGAUAGUAUAGAGUAGGAUAAUUCUUUGAAUUUGCUAUAUUGUUAAAGCGGGGGCCAACACGCCCAAACAUUACCUGGACGCCAUCCGAACAAACAUGUGUUGUCAAAGCGGGCCUUAAUUGGGCUGGUCAAAUUAAUAUUUAGUGGAUUCCAAAUGAUGUGGCGCACCGUAACAACGGCUCUUAGCAGGCUGUUAACAGGCCGAAAGCUCGAUAGGGACGUAUAAAUGGAAAUGGCCCGCGGGCCUCUAGUAGGCCUAAAUAAAUGUCAAUUUUGUCUCGACCCUUUUAUCUUUACGGGCCAGUAAGAGGCCAAAAGUGUUUUGGGCUAGAAGAGGCCCAAUUUGCAAACUAGGCUUUUAACAGGUCGAAAAUCGCGUCGGGCUGAAAUUGUGCCCCGUAGAAUGUGGGCUGCUAAUGGACCCAAAAUUAGGUUGCACAGUC
rnacentral:lncRNA from 1 species